AACCAUUCUCACCUGCGGCUAGACCUGCGGAAGGAUCAUUACAGAGUUGCAAGACUCCCACACCCUCGCGAACGUACCCGUCCCGUUGCUUCGGCGGGCUGCCCUGGGGGCCGCCCCGCGGUCCCCAAGCGCCCGCCGAAGGCCCUAAACCCUUUUGUCCUGUGGUGGCCUCUCUGAGUUACGCAUAUCGAAUCAGUUAAAACUUUUAACAAUGGAUCU
rnacentral:misc_RNA from 1 species